rnacentral:rRNA from 1 species
UGGAGCACGGAGCGAGGAGGGGGGGUAAAUCGGGGGUGGCAUGCGGUGUUAGGAAUUCGGGGGCGGAAAGGGCGCGUAGGCGGUCGAGUAAGUCUGACGUGAAAUCCCUUGGCUCAACCAAGGAACUGCGUCUUAAACUGCUCGGCUUGAGUCCGGGAGAGGGUAGUGGAAUUCCCAGUGUAGCGGUGAAAUGCGUAGAUAUUGGGAGGAACACCGGUGGCGAAGGCGGCUACCUGGACCGGUACUGACGCUGAGGCGCGAAAGCUAGGGUAGCAAACAGGAUUAGAUACCCCGGUAGUC